UACGGGGGGGGCAAGCGUUGUUCGGAAUUACUGGGCGUAAAGGGCUCGUAGGCGGCCAACUAAGUCAGAUGUGAAAGCCCCGGGCUCAACCUGGGAAUUGCAUUUGAGACUGUGUAGCUAGGGUGCGGAAGAGGGAAGCGGAAUUUCCGGUGUAGCGGUGAAAUGCGUAGAUAUCGGAAGGAACACCAGUGGCGAAAGCGGCUUCCUGGUCCAGCACCGACGUCAGGCACGAAAGCGUGGGGAGCAAACAGG
rnacentral:rRNA from 1 species